rnacentral:lncRNA from 1 species
GCUCGGACAGAUGCCGUGUCGAGAUGUUUUUUGCGAGCAUAUGCUCGUGGAAAACGGUUUCAUGGAAUCGCUUUUCGGAAUGUAUUGUCUCGUCAUGCGUUUCCAACACCUACCAAUUCGAUCCCUCUUGGUUUUGUUUUUUCAAUUCGAAACGUGGACAAUCUGGAGCUGAACAGUUUAAACAGCUUCACUGUGCGAGGACCUUCAAGGAACUUGUGCCGUUGCUUGCCAGAAAGAAUGACAUCCUAAUAUUCAUUUCUUGCCUCAUAAGACAGGAACUACUUAUUCCAUGAGUACGAAUUGCACCAACAGAAGAUUCCUAGGUGUUCCCUAUUCUCCACCCCAUUCAGUUUUUCCGACGAUAUCUCUCGCGAAAUAUCGGUUCUGCACACAACAGGUUUUGCGGUUCGUGUUCACUUCGCAGAAGAUUUCGUCUGAGUGUCCGGCUCUCCUUCAAUUCGGCUUUGAAAGGAAAUAGAAAUGGCUUCUGAGAAGGCUGUGUUCGGAAAGGAAACAGGCAUGAGCAGCAACCAGGCAAACUGUGCGGCACGGGAGCAUAAGUCGGAGGACAGUGCAUCGAGCUCCAACUUUGGGAAAGUGCUGGUCGAGAGAGCGCUGUUCGGGUCGCGCCGACGCCGUUUCGGUGGUAAAAAGAGCGUGAGCGAGGCUGCCAAGACGCUCCCAAGCAGGCUAAGCAAAGUUUCCUUGGCCGAGGACCACAAGACCAAGGUAUGAACAAGCCUUUCUAACAUCUUAGAGGUGCAAAACGAUUCUGAUUUGAUACAAAAAGCCCAGUUUCCAUGUGCAAUAGAAAUAUGAACACUAUGUAACGUAGCAGGUGGUGAUGAAGCUGUAAAUUUCUAUGUUUAGUUAGACAAAAGAUAUUACAUAACAACGAACUUGGCAGUAAGGAACUUGCAAACGAUUCUUCGGGGCAAGACGAGGGAUAUCAGGUCCCUGGAUUUCGCGAGAUUUUGUUGAUUUCAAACGCUGGUCUAUAUCAAACCACGAUAUGCUGCAUCUGCCGAAUUCGAAAUCUCUCCAGUUUACUCUAGCCCCUUCUCAUAUGUCCAAACAAGCUCCGAUAAUCAAGAGGCCCUUAACUUGGUCAUGUUUGAAACUACGAACUGAAGUAACUCCGCAGAAGAAAUAAUUAAGCGCUUCUACCGGAAAAUACCCGGAAAAGAAAUUGAAGAGCAUAAAAGAUAUCGCAGCCGGAAGACUCCGUCAUUGGAAACAACUACGUUUCGCACCUGAUCCGGUAUGCGACGAUCAAGCUUUCGAACUUUCAAGUCGAUGCAGAGAGGCGCCUCCUCGGUCGGUCACAUAAGGGGACUGAGGGUGUGAACAAGAGGGCCUCUUAGAUCAAAUCGCGAGCUGCGCAAUGAACGGUGCCGGGCGGACCACCAUCACGGGAUCAACGUGAGCUCUCAGCCGCGGGAUCCACAUCGAAUGACAGUCCCGACGUGCUGGUCAUGUCGUUGCCGACGGAUCCGACGUUUCGCAGGUGAGAAGAGACAGUAAGUUGGCCAAUAUGGAUGUACUAGGUUGUGAUCAGGACAUCGACAUCGACAUGUUCGUAUUGCCCGUAGGCCUUCUCCCAGUCCUUGCUUUUUGAUAGGGAAGUGUAAGAAAUCAUGAGCUAAGUUGAAGCUAGGGAACAAAUCCCUCCUUUGCAAUUCAGAAAUA